UACGGAGGAUCCGAGCGUUAUCCGGAUUUAUUGGGUUUAAAGGGUGCGUAGGCGGCUUAUUAAGUCAGGGGUGAAAGACGGCAGCUCAACUGUCGCAGUGCCUUUGAUACUGAUGAGCUUGAAUGUGAUUGAAGAUGGCGGAAUGAGACAAGUAGCGGUGAAAUGCAUAGAUAUGUCUCAGAACCCCGAUUGCGAAGGCAGUUAUCUAAGCCGUUAUUGACGCUGAUGCACGAAAGCGUGGGGAGCAAACAGG
rnacentral:rRNA from 1 species